rnacentral:rRNA from 1 species
UUAAUAUUCCCGUACUUGGUGUUACUGCGAAGGGGGGACGGAGAAGGCUAUGUUGGCCGGGCGACGGUUGUCCCGGUUUAAGCGUGUAGGUGUGUGUUCCAGGUAAAUCCGGUUCACUUUAACACUGAGGCGUGACGACGAGGCACUACGGUGCUGAAGCAACAAAUGCCCUGCUUCCAGGAAAAGCCUCUAAGCAUCAGGUAACAUCAAAUCGUACCCCAAACCGACACAGGUGGUCAGGUAGAGAAUACCAAGGCGCUUGAGAGAACUCGGGUGAAGGAACUAGGCAAAAUGGUGCCGUAACUUCGGGAGAAGGCACGCUGACACGUAGGUGAAGUGAUUUACUCAUGGAGCUGAAGUCAGUCGAAGAUACCAGCUGGCUGCAACUGUUUAUUAAAAACACAGCACUGUGCAAACACGAAAGUGGACGUAUACGGUGUGACGCCUGCCCGGUGCCGGAAGGUUAAUUGAUGGGGUCAGCGCAAGCGAAGCUCCUGAUCGAAGCCCCGGUAAACGGCGGCCGUAACUAUAACGGUCCUAAGGUAGCGAAAUUCCUUGUCGGGUAAGUUCCGACCUGCACGAAUGGCGUAAUGAUGGCCAGGCUGUCUCCACCCGAGACUCAGUGAAAUUGAACUCGCUGUGAAGAUGCAGUGUACCCGCGGCAAGACGGAAAGACCCCGUGAACCUUUACUAUAGCUUGACACUGAACAUUGAGCCUUGAUGUGUAGGAUAGGUGGGAGGCUUUGAAGUGUGGACGCCAGUCUGCAUGGAGCCGACCUUGAAAUACCACCCUUUAAUGUUUGAUGUUCUAACGUGGACCCGUGAUCCGGGUUGCGGACAGUGUCUGGUGGGUAGUUUGACUGGGGCGGUCUCCUCCUAAAGAGUAACGGAGGAGCACGAAGGUUGGCUAAUCCUGGUCGGACAUCAGGAGGUUAGUGCAAUGGCAUAAGCCAGCUUGACUGCGAGCGUGACGGCGCGAGCAGGUGCGAAAGCAGGUCAUAGUGAUCCGGUGGUUCUGAAUGGAAGGGCCAUCGCUCAACGGAUAAAAGGUACUCCGGGGAUAACAGGCUGAUACCGCCCAAGAGUUCAUAUCGACGGCGGUGUUUGGCACCUCGAUGUCGGCUCAUCACAUCCUGGGGCUGAAGUAGGUCCCAAGGGUAUGGCUGUUCGCCAUUUAAAGUGGUACGCGAGCUGGGUUUAGAACGUCGUGAGACAGUUCGGUCCCUAUCUGCCGUGGGCGCUGGAGAACUGAGGGGGGCUGCUCCUAGUACGAGAGGACCGGAGUGGACGCAUCACUGGUGUUCGGGUUGUCAUGCCAAUGGCACUGCCCGGUAGCUAAAUGCGGAAGAGAUAAGUGCUGAAAGCAUCUAAGCACGAAACUUGCCCCGA